UCUCUUACAUGGAUGGUCUUCUGCACC
rnacentral:piRNA from 1 species